CCUACGGGGGGCUGCAGUCGAGAAUCAUUCACAAUGGGGGAAACCCUGAUGGUGCGACGCCGCGUGGGGGAAUGAAGGUCUUCGGAUUGUAAACCCCUGUCAUGUGGGAGCAAAUUAAAAAGAUAGUACCACAAGAGGAAGAGACGGCUAACUCUGUGCCAGCAGCCGCGGUAAUACAGAGGUCUCAAGCGUUGUUCGGAAUCACUGGGCGUAAAGCGUGCGUAGGCUGUUUCGUAAGUCGUGUGUGAAAGGCGCGGGCUCAACCCGCGGACGGCACAUGAUACUGCGAGACUAGAGUAAGGGAGGGGGAACCGGAAGUCUCGGUGUAGCAGUGAAAUGCGUAGAUAUCGAGAGGAACACUCGUGGCGAAGGCGGGUUCCUGGACAUUAACUGACGCUGAGGCACGAAGGCCAGGGGAGCGAAAGGGAUUAGAUACCCCUGUAGUC
rnacentral:rRNA from 1 species